rnacentral:tRNA from 1 species
GCGGGAAUAGCUCAGUUGGUAGAGCACCACCUUGCCAAGGUGGANGUCGCGAGUUCGAGUCUCGUUUCCCGCUCCA